AGUCACGCAGACAACCAAGUGGACGGGCUGUAAUAGUUUACAUCCAAGUGCACUGGGGCCAAAUUUAACCACAGGAGGAGGCGCAGGCCGGACAUGGCUGAGAGUUUGUCCAGUAGUGUGUUGUGGCCAGUGGAAGAAGCUCAUUUUGGGGGUCGUCCUGGAUCUUGCCUGCCUGAGCUGUUAGGUGUGGACCUGUGACGCCGUGGCUGAUCUGAGUCACUUUUCAAGGGCGUUACUGGAACGGUACGAAUAUCACGCUUGUUCCGAGGCCCGUCAAGGCGGCGUUCGGCCUCAUGGACCCCCGAAGACUCGUAGGAGUUCAAUACGAGGGAUGUGGAAGGUGACGAGUCCCAGCUGCGUGCUCACAUAGAUCAUGGGGGACUGGAACCUUCUCGGAAAGCUCUUGGAAAAUGCCCAGGAGCACUCCACCGUGGUGGGCAAGGUGUGGCUCACGGUACUGUUCAUUUUCCGCAUUCUGAUCCUGAGCGCCGCCACAGAGAAGGUGUGGGGCGACGAGCAGUCGGGCUUCACCUGCGAUACCAAGCAGCCCGGUUGCGAGAACGUCUGCUAUGACAUCACUUUCCCCAUCUCCCACGUUCGUUUCUGGGUGCUGCAGAUCAUCUUUGUGUCCACACCUACGCUGAUCUACCUGGGCCACAUCCUGCAUCUGGUGCGUAUGGAGGAGAAGCAAAAGGAGAAAGAGAAGACUCAAGCACAUCCCCCCGACAAGCUGGGCCUCGUUGUGGAUGGCCACAAGCACAAAAAGGCCCUAAUGAGAGACGAGAAAGGACAUGUGCGCCUGCAGGGGGAGCUCUUGCGCACCUAUGUCUUUAAUGUCAUUUUUAAGACCCUCUUUGAGGUGGGCUUCAUUGUGGCCCAGUACCUGUUGUACGGAUUUGAGCUGAAACCCAUGUACACCUGCGACAGGCCGCCUUGUCCCAAUGCGGUCAACUGCUACAUCUCCCGUCCCACUGAGAAAACCAUCUUUAUCAUAUUCAUGCUGGGUGUGGCCAGCGUUUCCCUCUUCCUCAACCUGAUUGAGAUCUAUCACCUGGGUUUCACCAAGUGCCGCCAGGGGAUUACCUUCAGGAGAAGGAACCGGUCACCUGAGACCCUGUCCAAGGGACACAGUGACACCGAAGUACCGUUCGGGCCUGCGUAUGAAGACUACUUCCAAGAGCAUCGUCCCCCCAGCUACAACCUCUCACCACUGUCCGAGGGCGCCAGCUCCUCCUUUCACCCUUGUAACAGCAAAGCGGCCUACAAACAGAACAAGAACAACUUGGCGGUGGAAAGGAGCAGUGGCAAGCCAGAGGAAUGUGACCUGAAAGGGAAAAAGCGUGAGGGAUCUGCCCCGGGGUCACCCACGCACAGCAGGCAAGGCCGCAGUGCCAAGCACGGCAACAACAAGACUAGAAUAGAUGAUCUGAAGAUAUGAGACAUGUUGCUCUCUCGGGGUGGUCUUAAACUGGAACGAAGGGACUCAAUGUCAUUAGCAAACAAAUGUAUUCAUUGUAAGUGGUUUGACUCAUUCCAAAUAAGACUCUCAAGGUCCUCGGAAUUGGUUUUGUGAAAUGUGGACUGAUAGUAGAUGUAGGAAAUGACACAAGGUCCAUUUGUUGAGGAAAUACAGUACAGUGGAACCUGCGAAAGUUGCACACACUUCAUUCCGGAAAACUGGCAUUUGGUGUUGUUCUAACUUCAAAAUAACUUUUCCAUUGGAAUUAAUUAUCCAUCCGUCAAUUUUCUUUGCCACUUAUACUCACGCGGGUCGCGGGAGUGCUUGAGCCUAUCCUAGCUGUCAAAGGGCAGGAGGCGGGGUAUACCCUGAACCGGUUGCCAGCCAAUCGCAGGGCACACAGAGACAAACAGCCGCACUCACAAUCACACCUAGGGACAAUUUAGAGUGUCCAAUUAAUGUUGCAUGUUUUUGGGAUGUGGGAGAGUGAAUGGAGAAAACCCACACAGGCACGGGGACAACAUGCAAACUCCACACAGGCGGGUCCAGGAUUGAUCCCGGGACCUCAGAACUCUGAGGGCAACACCUUCCAGCUGAGACACUGUGCCGCGGAUUAUUAAUUACCCCAACAUUUUUUGGUUGUUGUUGUUUUAACUAUUAAAACUGAUUGAUUUGACCUUCCUUAACGAAGCUAGCUCAAAUAAAUAGUAAAUUUAAACUCAUUUAAGUAAAAGUGAACUUUAGUAUUUGCAGAAUACUGCCACCUUUUGAAAAGCAUUUCUGGAAUUCAAAAUGCCCUUUGGUAAAAUUAGUUUGUGUAUCUAUCCAUCCAUUCAGCCAUCCAUUUUCUGUACUGCUUAUCCACACGUGUUAUUGAUAUAUUUGAAUUUUGUUGCUCAUAUUGUACUGAGCAGCCAGAUUCUUUCCAAUGUUGUAAUAAGUUCCAUAUUUGCUUCUAUGGUUAUCAUCAUGUUUCUCCUCUUUGCCGUCACUGGUACCCUGCAGUGGUGCUGUCACCGAAAAAAAAAAAAAAAAAAAAAAAAAACAUCAAUGCAUUUUCUGUACCAGUUAUCCUCACUAGGGUCACGGGUGAGCUGGAGAGUUUUGCACCUCUUUUCGGGCGAGAGGUGGUGUACACCCAGAACUGGUCACCAGCCAAUUGCAGAAAACAUCGUAAUAGUUCAUCCUUUAUAUGCUUACUGAGCUGACGUUUCGCAGUAAUUCUUCUUCCUGGCGUCUCGUGUCAGCGUGGACACCCUGCGGCGCUGCGAUACCUCUCACAGGUUAGUCUACGACAAGAGACGUGGUUUUAUACUGUAUGUGUGUGUUAUAAGAGCAAUGAAAAACAUGGCGACUGUUUCCCCUCAUGAUGUGUGCGCUCUAGUUCAUUCGGAAAAUCUGUUAGGAUGUUUUAAAAAUAUAUACAUAUGUAGCCAUAUUAAAUUGUGGCUGAAAUAAUUAGCCUUAUUUGCAAAUAGUCUGACAAGAAGGAUGUGACAUUUACCAAUAUAUAUUCUCUCAUUUUGGAGAUAAUGGAAGUGGAAAGAAUCUGUUCCAGGCUCACACUGGAACGAUUUCCAAGAGAUGUUAACAUUUUACACAAAAGUAAACUGUCAUUAGUGAAAAGUGAAAACAAUCAAAUCACCCUUUAAAGUAAUGAGGAGCUUAUAGAGAGCGAUUAUUACUUGUGCUAAAGAGGUACUUAGUCUAUGUCUCUUCGCAUAAAGAACUCAUUUUCUGGUGUACAUUCCAUUCUUGUCCUCGGUUAUUUCGGCCACGCCUGCAAAAUUGUGCUAAGCUGCCGGGAAAAAAAAAAAAACAUGUAUACUGCUUUUCUAUGUGUCAACAAUUUCCAUUUUUUAUUCUAUGGUUAUCAACAUGUUUCCUCUCCCUUUCAGAUACUGUGUCACAAAAAGCUACGUAUUUCAUAUAAUGUAAUUUAAUAAUGUUAUUUUUUUGUGACAACCAAGACCACUGGACUGCUGACAGUUUCCUUUUUUUUUGUAUUGUUACACAAGUCAACUGCAAACUUAUUGUUGUGUGUAUGUGUGUGCGUGUCUACUCACACAUGCACG